rnacentral:lncRNA from 1 species
AAAAUAAUUCGCAGAACAGCGAAGAGAAGUAGGCAAAACGAAAACAUAACUGGUAAUCACAUUCUGGUAAAGAAAAGUUUAACUAUCAUUAGAAUCACUAAUUAGAGAUGUCAACUGGCCGGAUUCGGGGUGGAUUUUCAAACACCCGAACCCGAACCCGAACCCGACUCCAAACUUGAGACCCAAACCCGAACCCGAACCCGACGGAUUUUAAAAAUCCAUAUCCAAACCCGAACUCGACCAAAAAUUCGAAACCCAAACCUGAACCCGAACCUAAAAAGUUAAAUUCGAAACAAUUUUUUUUUUUCAAUAUUUCAAAAUAUAUUAUAUUAAAUAUAAAUUUUUAAAAUACAAAUUCAAAUAUAACAUCAAAUUUAUAUAUAUAUAUAUAUAUAUAAUACAAAAUAAAUUCGGGUUCGGGUUGAGUACAGUCAAAAUCCAUAUCCGUCAGGUUUCUAUUUUUGAUAUCCUCAUAUCCAUAUCCGAAUCCACAUCCAUUUAGUAUCGGAUAUAUCCGUUUCAUUCGGGUUCGGGU